GACGAGGGACCCUAGCGUUGUUCGGAAUCAUUGGGCGUAAAGAGGGCGUAGGUGGCUUUGUAAGUCAGGUGUGAAAUCCCAGGGCUCAACCCUGGACGUGCAUUUGAUACUGCGAAGCUUGAGUGUUGGAGAGGUUACUGGAAUACCUGGUGUAGUGGUGAAAUACGUAGAUAUCAGGUGGAACACCAGAGGCGAAGGCGGGUAACUGGCCAAACACUGACGCUGAGGCCCGAAAGCGUGGGGAUCAAACAGG
rnacentral:rRNA from 1 species